rfam:Ovis aries breed Texel chromosome 5, whole genome shotgun sequence.
UCCCUGAUGGUCCAGUGGUUAGGACUCUACACUCUCACUGCCGAGGGCCCAGGUUCUAUUCUCGGUUGGGGAA